UCUUUGCUAAUGCUGCAUUUCUUUGUUUGCCCUCUGGAAUCCCGAAUAUUUUGCUUUUCGAUUAAAAAACAAUCUGUAUUUCUAUACGUACGUAUCCAUAUCAUACUAAUUACACUACGUGCGUAUAGCAGUGCUUUAUAUGUAGAGCACGGUCUUGGAUUUGAGUGAGCCACACAUUUAUCAUCGAUUUCUGCUAAAUGCAUUCCUGCUCAUUACUACAGGACAUGCAAUCCAAUGAGAAGAGGCCCAUUUCACCUCACUGACAAAUGAGGGCAGGCAGGACUGGUGUGAGCAGCUCCAGUCUGUCCUCUGAAUUUCCCAGAAUCCCCCCAUGUUUGGCUGCCACUGUCAACUUCAAAAACCGUGUUAGAAACACUCCAGCGAUACCCAUGAAUCAGAAAGUUCAGGAGCAGAGAGGGUCUACAACCUUUAGAAUGUGCUUCAUGACAGAUUUCCAUCCGAUUGAGCGUCGGUGGGAUUUGCUGGACGACAAGUGCGAUCCAUGGAGAGCCCACCUCACAGCUUACCGGACUAACGUCUGGGUGCCAGAUAUCGCAGGAUGCUUUCAGAGGUUUUACAGAAUGCAUACCUCGAUGGGCUGGUAUCUGGUCCAGAGAGUGCCCAAGCCAUGUGAACUCUGCUACAUGGAAUAAGCUGCAUUUCCUGCUGUAGCCCUAGACAAGAUGGGUCAGCUGGCCAUCCAGGACGGGGUGACGAUGACACUAUCCCACAACGUCCCUGUGACAGGUUCCAUUGUUUAACACACUCUCAUAACAUAUGGACAAUUUGGAGAACUCUGAGAGGAAGCCAGAGAAAAUUCACAUCUUCAGAGGGACAUCCAUACAUAGACACCUAUAGGUGUAAGCAUGCAUUGCUAGUCAGUGAACUAGCCUGCACUCUGCAAUUGUAAACAUACUCAAAGGGCACGUCAUUGGAUAAACCAACCCAGGAUCAGGAAGAGCUCAUUUUUGUCUCCAAAACCUUAAAGCUUCAAAGGAUGACAAGUGAUACUCAGAGCUUUCUGACUUUCUGCACACUAUGCUCUGCUAUACUGACCUUUUAUGUUUGUAUAUAUGGUCUUCCUGUUAGAUUUAACAAGUCUGACCAGUCUCUUCAUCACUAUGGUGUUUUUGAGCACAAGCUCUAUGUUUUGUUCUUUAUCACACGAUCUCUGUAUCCUCUAGACCACUGUUUCCCAAUCUUGUCCCCAGGGACCCACAGACAGUCCACGUUUUUGCUUUGGAAGCAAAAUGUGGACCGUCUGGUAGGGAGCAAAAACAGGGACCGACACUGUAUUGCAUGAAAAUCCCAGGAUGGUAUCUAUUUCUGAGGCGAUGGAACCACCGCAUGUCGUACCGACGACCACACAAUGUUCAAAAUUGCUUAAAUCAUCUCUCUCUAACAGUGACUCAAUUAUUUGAUCCUGUCUGAAUGCAGUGUAUAUCGAGCUGCAGCCACAUGACUCAUAGUGUGAGGGAGCAUGCUGUUUGUAUUAAUGAGCAGGUGAACAUAAAGUGGCCAGUGAGUGUUUGCAGUGCGCUAUUAUAUAUGACAUUAUUUGGAUGUGAAAGGCACAACCGUUCCUGCAAAUUGGGGAAAAAGAAACGUUGGUGACCACAGAUUCACAAAAUCGGCUUUAUGUUGACAGUCUCCCUUAUCAUAUAACGUCCUUUCAAGCCUUUCCGAACUCAACAAUGUGCCAGAGAGGACUGUUUUUAUCAUUUAUCAAGGGAUGCAGAGUUCUGCAUUCGGAGUCCCUUUACAGGACUGCUUUACCGAGCUGUUAUUCUUGGAACAGUGGACUUUCCGUUACCAUUGAUUCUAGCCAUUCUCACCUGAUCUCUCUCACUAAUACGGUGUUUUCAUCCACAGAAAUGCUGCUGACUGGAUGCUUUUAGUUUAUCGCACCAUUCUCUGUAAAUUCCAGAUGCUGUAAUGUAGGAAUUAAAAGCUCAGGAGAGUUGGCUGUUUCUGAGAUGCUGAAAUCCACGCCUGACACCAACAAUCACACCGUGUUUAAAAUCACUAAGUUCGCACAUCAUAGUUGUCCUAAUGCUAAGUCAAGCUCUAUGAACCAAUUGACCCUGUCUGUGUGCCGUAUGUAU